UACGUAGGGUGCGAGCGUUGUCCGGAAUUAUUGGGCGUAAAGGGCUCGUAGGCGGUUUGUCGCGUCGGGAGUGAAAACCUUGGGCUUAACUCAGGGCUUGCUUUCGAUACGGGCAGACUAGAGGUAUGCAGGGGAGAACGGAAUUCCUGGUGUAGCGGUGGAAUGCGCAGAUAUCAGGAGGAACACCGAUGGCGAAGGCAGGUCUCUGGGCCAUUACUGACACUGAGAAGCGAAAGCAUGGGGAGCGAACAGG
rnacentral:rRNA from 1 species